rnacentral:rRNA from 1 species
UACGAAGGGUGCAAACGUUAUUCGGAAUCACUGGGCGUAAAGGGUGCGUAGACGGCUUAUUAAGUUCGUUGUUAAAGGCUCCGGCCCAACCGGAGUAUUGCGAUGAAAACUGGUAAACUAGAGGAUGAGAGAGAGAAGUGGAAUUCCCGGAGUAGCGGUAAAAUGCGUAGAUAUCUGGAGGAACACCGGUGGCGAAGGCGGCAUUCUGGACCGACAUUGACGCUGAGGAGCGAAAGCCAGGGGAGCAAACGGG